GAGUUUGAUUCUGGCUCAGGAUGAACGCUAGCGAUAGGCUUAACACAUGCAAGUCGAGGGGCAGCAUGAUCUUAGCUUGCUAAGGUUGAUGGCGACCGGCGCACGGGUGCGUAACGCGUAUGCAACUUGCCUUACAGAGGGGGAUAACCCGUUGAAAGACGGACUAAUACCGCAUACACUUGUUUGGUUGCAUGAUCGGGCAAGGAAAUAUUUAUAGCUGUAAGAUAGGCAUGCGUCCCAUUAGCUGGUUGGUGAGGUAACGGCUCACCGAGGCUACGAUGGGUAGGGGAACUGAGAGGUUUAUCCCCCACACUGGUACUGAGACACGGACCAGACUCCUACGGGAGGCAGCAGUGAGGAAUAUUGGUCAAUGGGCGAGAGCCUGAACCAGCCAAGUCGCGUGAAGGAAGACUGUCCUAAGGAUUGUAAACUUCUUUUAUACGGGAAUAACGGGCGAUACGUAUAUUGCUAUGAAUNACC
rnacentral:rRNA from 1 species